rnacentral:rRNA from 1 species
CAGCACCUCAAGUGGUCAGGAUGAUUAUUGAGCCUAAAGCGUCCGUAGCCGGACUAGUAAACCCUUGGGUAAAUUGGGCAGCUUAACUGUCCAAAUUCCGAGGGGACUGCUAGUCUUGGGACCGGGAGAGGUCAGAGGUACUCAAGGGGUAGGGGCUAAAUCCUGUAAUCCGUUGGGGACCACCAGUGGCGAAGGCGUCUGACUAGAACGGAUCCGACGGUAAGGGACGAAACCCUGGGGCGCGAACCGGAUUAGAGACCCGAGUAGUCC